CUUUACAGGGACGAGGUAUUCUAUAAUAUCAAUUACAUUUACGAAAAGUGUAAGCCAACACUAAACAUGUCAGCGUCAAAGCGCACCCCUUUUCAAGACAUCACCAACGGCCAGAAUCAAGAUCCUAAAGAGGCCAAAAGGCAGAGAAACCGAGAGUAUUAUGCAAAAAAUAAAGAUGAAAUUGCAAAACGCCGGCGCCAAGCACGAGAACUUAAAAAACAGGUUCCUUCAACGGAUGCAAACAUAAACGAUAACACAGUAUGUCAUACACCAGAUCCUCCACAAUCCGGAGUCAGCCAGCUGCAAUACAAAACACCAGACAUGGCUCCACUUGUUCAGCAUACCUAUGCAGAC